CAGAAUACCCAGUUAAAUUUGAAUUUCAGAUAAGCAAUAAAUAGUAUUUUACUAUCAGUAUUUGGGACACAUAAAAUAUUUGGGACAUACUUGUUCUAAAAAAGUAUUUCUUUUUAUCUGAAAUUCACAAUUACCUUAGCAUU
rnacentral:pre_miRNA from 14 species